UACGUAGGGUGCGAGCGUUGCCCGGAUUUAUUGGGCGUAAAGGGCGCGUAGGCGGCUCGGCACGUCCGUUGUGAAAUCGCCCGGCUCAACUGGGCGGGGUCAGCGGAUACGGCCGAGCUUGAGCAAGCUAGGGGGUAAUGGAAUUCCCGGUGUAGUGGUGGAAUGCGUAGAUAUCGGGAGGAACACCAGUGGCGAAGGCGGUUACCUGGAGCUUUGCUGACGCUGAUGCGCGAAAGCGUGGGGAGCGAGUCCGG
rnacentral:rRNA from 1 species